AUCUCUAAUGUGGCACACUCAAGAGCUGAGAAGAAACUGAGCAAACGCUCCCAGUGUUGAAUCAGAGCCUCUGGGAAUUCUAGAACUUGAGAAACAAUCUAUGUGUCCUCACAAUGGGUUGUACCUCUUACAUCCUGUUCAGGCAGGCUGGCCCUGCAACCCAUGGCAAUGCCACUAGUGAAGAGCAUUUUCUGUGUGUAGAAUAGUGUGUUAGGGGUAGCUUCAAAAACAAACAAAAAAUGUUACCAGAACACACAUGUUCUUUUAGUGAAAGUUUAAAAGAUAGCACUUCUUUGCAGAGGGUCAACAGUGAAGUGUGGUGACCUGGUUACUUUCUGUUUGACUAAGUGUUUCAUGGCUCUGGUUUGCACUCUGGAAGACUAAUCUUUGCUGAGAUUAGCUGAGUACUGAGUGGUUUUGGCUUCAAACUGAGGUAAGCCCAGAGCCUUGAGCUUGCUAAACAACUGCUCUACCCACCGAACCUCAAGAUCCUCAACUCUACAGUGUGACACAUGAAAAGAGUGAGAGCAAAUGGAUGGAGUAUGUAGAAGAUCAGGCAUCAUCCACUGGAUUGAUGUCAGUCUGGAUGUCUAGAUCUGACAAUGCUGGUCUGUCUCCUCUCUUGGGAUUAGGGAACACAGGAUGUCCCAUACAACUUCUUACCUCGUGUUCGGUCAUUACUAAUGUUCAAGUGAGUACUUUUCCCCUAGGCAUUAUUCCUAGAGUCCCUCAGAAUAUACUGCUUCUGUCCAGUGUAAAGCUGAAAGUUGUGAGUGGGAUGGGCAGAAAAACAAGAAGCAGAGUGUCAGGUAGAGAGAAAAG
rnacentral:lncRNA from 1 species